rnacentral:rRNA from 1 species
ACAAUGAAGAGUUUGAUCCUGGCUCAGGAUGAACGCUAGCUACAGGCUUAACACAUGCAAGUCGAGGGGCAUC